rnacentral:sRNA from 1 species
GGGACGCUGACCAGCUCUGAGUCCCACCCCGAGGCCGCCCCCAAAAGGAAACUGUCAUCAAUAGGAAUACAAGUCAGCUCGGGUGCGGAGGCCAUAGCCCUGCUUGGCGGCAGGAGCAGCAUGGAGCAUAGACGCUGAUGGGCCAGGGGCCCAGGACCCAGGGCCCUUGAGCCAUGGGGGUUUCUCGAGGGGAACUCUGCCCAGAGCCCUCUCGGGCCUUGGGGACAGCCAGUGCCAAAAGAGGAGCCCAGUCCCGCUACCAAAUUCCAGUCCAUCGGGGUUCAGGUAGAGGACGACUGGCGAAGCAGCGUCCCCUCUCACAGUAUGUCCUCCCGACGGGACACAGACUCUGAUACCCAGGAUGCCAAUGACUCCAGCUGUAAGUCAUCUGAGAGGAGCCUCCCGGACUGUACCCCUCACCCCAACUCCAUCAGCAUCGAUGCCGGUCCCCGGCAGGCCCCCAAGAUUGCCCAGAUCAAGCGCAACCUCUCCUAUGGAGACAACAGCGACCCUGCCCUAGAGGCGUCCUCGCUGCCCCCACCCGACCCCUGGCUCGAGACCUCCUCCAGCUCCCCAGCAGAGCCAGCACAGCCAGGGGCCUGCCGCCGAGACGGCUACUGGUUCCUAAAGC